rnacentral:rRNA from 1 species
CCUACGGGGAGCAGCAGUGAGGAAUAUUGGUCAAUGGACGAGAGUCUGAACCAGCCAAGUAGCGUGAAGGAUGACUGCCCUAUGGGUUGUAAACUUCUUUUAUAUGGGAAUAAAAUGUUCCACGUGUGGGAUUUUGUAUGUACCAUAUGAAUAUGGAUCGGCUAACUCCGUGCCAGCAGCCGCGGUAAUACGGAGGAUCCGAGCGUUAUCCGGAUUUAUUGGGUUUAAAGGGAGCGUAGGUGGAUUGUUAAGUCAGUUGUGAAAGUUUGCGGCUCAACCGUAAAAUUGCAGUUGAAACUGGCAGUCUUGAGUACAGUAGAGGUGGGCGGAAUUCGUGGUGUAGCGGUGAAAUGCUUAGAUAUCACGAAGAACUCCGAUUGCGAAGGCAGUUCACUGGACUGCAACUGACACUGAGGCUCGAAAGUGUGGGUAUCAAACAGGAUUAGAUACCCUGGUAGUC